UGUUAUAAAUAUGUGUAUAGGACUAUAAUUUUGCUAAGGAAGGCUUUUUGGUGUAUUCUCCUUAUUGAAGACAAAAACAAAAAUAAUGGUGGCUUCAUCAAGCAUAUUAUUGUAUAUAGUUUAAUUGUUAUGCUAAAUCCAUAUAAAAAUUAUGUUUCCAUGGAUGAAGGACCCGACACUAUAAAAAGGAUACAUCUAUAAAAGAUAUGUGUACUAGACUUUUUUUUGCGAAAGAAGGCUUUUUGGUGCAUUCUCCUUAUUGAAGACAAAAACAUAUUAUUGGUGGUUUCACCCAACAUAUUGUUGUAUAUAGUUUAAUUAUUAUGCUAAAUCAAGAUAAAAAUUGUGUUUCCAUAGAUGAAGGACCUGACACUAUAAAGGGAUACAUCUAUAAAAGGCGAGUUAUUUUUUUUC